AUUGAACGCUGGCGGCAUGCUUUACACAUGCAAGUCGAACGGCAGCACGGGCUUCGGCCUGGUGGCGAGUGGCGAACGGGUGAGUAAUGCAUCGGAACGUACCGUGUAAUGGGGGAUAACGUAGCGAAAGUUACGCUAAUACCGCAUACGCCCUGAGGGGGAAAGCGGGGGAUCGUAAGACCUCGCGUUAUACGAGCGGCCGAUGUCGGAUUAGCUAGUUGGUGGGGUAAAGGCCUACCAAGGCGACGAUCCGUAGCGGGUCUGAGAGGAUGAUCCGCCACACUGGGACUGAGACACGGCCCAGACUCCUACGGGAGGCAGCAGUGGGGAAUUUUGGACAAUGGGCGCAAGCCUGAUCCAGCCAUGCCGCGUGAGUGAAGAAGGCCUU
rnacentral:rRNA from 1 species